rnacentral:rRNA from 1 species
UACAGAGGGGGCAAGCGUUGUUCGGAAUUACUGGGCGUAAAGGGCGCGUAGGCGGCCCGCUAAGUCGAACGUGAAAUCCCCGGGCUCAACCCGGGAACUGCGUCCGAUACUGGCGGGCUUGAAUCUGGGAGAGGGAUGCGGAAUUCCAGGUGUAGCGGUGAAAUGCGUAGAUAUCUGGAGGAACACCGGUGGCGAAGGCGGCAUCCUGGACCGGCAUUGACGCUGAGGCGCGAAAGCCAGGGGAGCAAACGGG